rnacentral:rRNA from 1 species
CACACGACUCUCGGCAACGGAUAUCUCGGCUUUCGCAUCGAUGAAGAACGUAGCGAAAUGCGAUACCUGGUGUGAAUUGCAGAAUCCCGCGAACCAUCGAGUCUUUGAACGCAAGUUGCGCCCGAGGCCAUUCGGCCGAGGGCACGCCUGCCUGGGCGUCACGC